AUACUUCUAUAAAUCUACACACUCAUCCCUUCUAAAUCCUCCAUCAGUGGUGCAUCUCAGCUUUGGUUGUUCCUCUGAGUUAUCGGAAGCUUUCACCGCUACCGCGACUGCUCGCGUCGCACGAUCUCUCUCUAUCAUCCAUUGCGUCGCAGGAGCCCCCUCCUUGUGAUUCUGUAGCUUAGGAUUCAAUUUUUCUGUGCCAAUUUUAGAUUUAUCAAUUUUUCUUCGCAGUUUCUAUCUUCUUGUUGUUGUUGAUGCUGAUUGAGCUUCUUGUUUCUGUUGCAGUUUCUAUCACAUGCUGGUAUCUCGAAACAGAUGGUUAGUGCAGUGAAAUGUGGAAGGAUUCAAGUUGAUGGUGAGAGGGUACCAGUUUCAUACAUAGUUAAAUCAUCACAGAAGAUUAGCCAUUUCGUACACAGGGUUGUCUUUGCACUGAAAGCUUUGCAUUUUUACUUUUGUGGUUUAGAAGUGAUUGAGCUUGAAACUGAUGCCGCAAAGAUUUUAGGCAUAAACCGCCUGUGAUGGCUUGUGAGGUUCUGAUUCUCCAAAAAGAACUAGACGUGCUGACUGUUUGUAAACCUGCAUCUGUCCCUAGGAUCACAUUUGAACUGGUUGUGGUUCUGUGUCUGUUAUAGUGUAUGGGGAUCCUGAGAAACCAGCUCUGAUCACUUAUCCAGACCUAGCACUAAAUUAUAUGUCAUGUUUCCAAGGAUUAUUUUUCUGUCCAGAGGCAGCUUCUUUGCUGCUUCACAACUUCUGCAUAUAUCAUAUCAGUCCUCCUGGACACGAAGUCUGUAAGAGAUUGAUUUCAAUACAUUUUCUUUUCUAUUUAGAAAGUAAACUUUAUAAUUCACAUAGUUUCUCCUCUUAGAACUUCCACAAGAGUUGUUGCAGUUGGGAGUUAGUGCAAUUUGUCCUAAUGACCCUAUACCUUCUGUUGAAGACUUAGCAGAUCAAAUAGUUGAGAUUCUCAACUAUUUUGGGUAAAUUACAUUAUAAUCACACUGUUGAUAACUUAGUUUUAAGGAUGGUUAGGUUUCACUGUGUAGAAUAUACCAUUACACCUUAUAGUUAAAGUGAUGUACAUAAAGAAUUAUUGAUUGUACUUUACUGUAUUUAUUACCAUGAAGUUAUGAAAUAUAAUUAAUCUGAUUUUGUGAAUUGAAGUUUUCUGCUUUGUACUUGCAUGUUAGUCUUUUCUAUUUUCUGAACUGCAGAGUUAUUAGCCAACUAUCAUUACUUAUGUAUAUCUAAAAAGUGUAGCAAUUUUUAAACAAUGCAAGAAGAUUGCUAUCUUUGACAAUAAAGAUUAAUGAAGUUUAAAUUCUAAGCCAUUCAACUAACAAUGCGAUGCAUAUCAUAUAUAGAUACUAAUUAGAUCUUAGUAAUUUUCAUUGAAUAAUUUUUUAAUAUGUGUUGCAAUAAUCAGAGCUGGUACCAGGAGGUAUCAAAGCUAAAGGCAAAGUAUGAGUCUCUACAAAGGACUCAGAGGCACUUGCUUGGGGAAGAUCUUGGACCAUUGAGCAUAAAGGAGCUGCAGAAUCUUGAGAAACAGCUUGAAGGUUCUUUAGCACAGGCUUGGCAGAGGAAGGUCAGUGUAAACACCUAUCUAUUAUCUUUCAUUUGCUUCUUUCUUUUUGUUCAAAUUUGUUCUUUGAUUGCUUUCCUUUAUCUUUUUUUUAUAUAUAAUUAUUUGGUUACUUUUCUUUGAUUGUAUAUAUAACAUGCCUGAUAAUAAAGGAUCUAAAAUUAAAUCAGUGGGUUAAUUAGGGUACAACCUAUUUUAACUUGAUUCAACAAAGUUUUGAUUGUUAAAUUAAACAUCAUAUAAAGUUGAAAAGUGAAAAUAAGGGAAAGACAUAAAAGUAAAGAGGAGGGGGAAAUGCUUACUUACUUGGUAAUGAAAUAUCAUGCAAAAAAUUUAAACUGCUUUUUUUUAAAUUUCUUCUCAUAGCACUAAGUUGAUCAAAACAAGCAAUAAAUUGUUAGAAAAAUAAUUGAAAAAUUUCUAGCAGUUCAGAAAAUAGAAAAGUAUCCCGUUUAGUUUCAGUUGACAAUCAUGUAACCUAUAUUAAAAGACAGGGAUGCUUGUAUAACGUAAUUGUCAACUGUUGGCUCGAAAGUGUAAGUACAUUUUCAAAAUUUUGGUGAGGCUUGCUUCCGUAGCAAAGGGGAAGAAAUGAAACAAACAUGAACAAUCAAAGUCUCAGGCAAGUUCUCAAGUUCUACUCAUAUCAUCUGUUGAUUUUAUCUGUAAAUAAGUAAACGAUGUUCUGUUGGUUAAGAUUGUGAUACUCUUCUCUUCACUUGACUAACUUUUUACUUUUUAGCUAGUUGUGAAUGCCAAUAUAGACUAUAAUGCUCGGGAAGGGAGGAGCAUAGCGGAAUACAGGAGUAUACUUUCUAAUUAUUAAGAAGCACCACCAGUUAUUAAGGAGACUCCUGUUCUAGUUCAAGAUUCUGCAAAGAUUAAAGAAGCACCACCAGGUUCUUUCUCUUUUUCUCCUAUUAAAUUUGCAACCCCAAAUCGAAAGUUAUUGGAACUAGAUCAGAUAUUGAGGUGAGCUUCACUUGUGACUUUGUUACUUGAGAUGAAUACACUAUAUAUAGAUUAUGUUGUCACUAUUUUUUUUUAUUUUUGUCAGAAUUUGAUACUCGAAAAACAGAUGAAAAAUGGAAAAAUAUAAGGAGGCAGAGAAGCCUGAGGCAGAGGAUCAAUUCAUGACCCCACUGUUUGAAUCAAUGGACACAAUAAUGAUAAAUGGUUUCUAUACAGAUGAAGUUCCAAUUUUAGAACCUAAUUAAGCAACUUUAUUGUAUAUUGACUUAAUUAGAGGACAAUAGUAUAUAGUUGAUGUAUCAAUGCACUUUGUUGAUGUAUGGUUGUUACUUGUUAUUAUAAUUGAUGUAUCAACACUUUGUUUAUAUUUUGAAAUAUAUUGACUUGUU